CGAGCCCAGUAUAGAUGAAAGUAAAGACACAACAACUUAGCUUAGCAUCCCUUUUUCUCAGAAUCAUUUGCGCAACGCACCUUGAUAACAGCAUCUUUGAUCUUGUGCCCGGGACUUGUGAAGUCGACGAAAGAAUAAGCAUCUGCUAGAGAAGGAUAAGGAUCAGAUGAAUAAGAUGGAGCAGUGGUAACGAGAUCAGUGGAUGAAACAUCAGAAUUCUCUAUGUAUGAUGGAAUCAGGUAACUCGGCUCGCGUAAGCGCAAUUGCAAUCAGCGAGAUACAAGAAUUACAGUAAUAGUGUCAUUCAAGUAGUCAGCGGGUACCUAAAAUUCUUUAUGGGUCACCAACCUAAGUGCUCAACAAUACAAUUAUGACUUUAUGAGUGGAAAGAGAAGAGUAAGGAGCUGAAAGCCUUUACAGAUUACUUUAUAACUGGCUAUUUUCCUUCUUCUGCCCCAAGAAACAGAACUAGAUUAUGACUUGAACCCGAAAGCGCCUGUAUACUCCUGAACACAGUUGCUUGGUUGCUCGCUCCUCUAAGAAUGGAGUGGACUUACCUAUCCCUCUGAUCUUGCUCUUCUAACUCUCCUUUGGCUACUACGCCUAUGGCUCCCGAGCGCAUAGCAAGUAAUAAAUACAUUCUAACAAAAUACACUAUAACAGAACAGGAUCGGUAUUCCACUCUAACAAGAACAGGAACGGGAGAAGGAUCGGCUUCUAUACUAGUAUACACUUGGCUCUUCUACUUACCUAUGGCAACAGGCAACUAUUCACUUCAUUCGGCUAAUCUCACUACUUGCUCCCCGGGCUCUGGCAACGGCCAAGCGACUACUGAUAUUGAUACUGAUCCUUAAGAUGACUCCUCCCCUCUUGCUACUAUCUGAUAGAAUACCUCUAGCUCCCCUCUCUACCACUACUAAUAAGAAUAAGGGAUCUACUAACUGGGCCAAUAAGAAUUCCGUUAUAGGAGCGAUAGAUAUGAAACCACUAAAAGGCUAAUUCCACCACUACGGAAGGUAUCAAACGACGGAAUCAAACCAGAACUACUAUUAACUAAGAGAACCCGGUCUUAAACUUCUUACCGGACAGGUUCACACAGGACUUGUUCAACUACUGAUUCUCCUGCUCGCUCACCAAUUACUUAAGGGCUUAACUCUUUCACUCUAGUUUCUUAUUUACUCCGAACAGUACUUACCUGGCAAUUCAAUAAGUCAAGUUUUUCACUCAAGAAUUGGGUAAUUAGCCUAGUGCCCCCUUACGCCAACACGCUACUUUAGAACUGGAACUGUUGAUUCUCUUGUAACUGCUAAUUCUUUUACAGCUGAUGAUCCAGCUUGAUACUCUGUUCCUGCUUGAACGCCUGGGCCAAGCUUAUACUAAGUACUUUGGUGGGCAAGGUUUACAAUAAGGCAACACCAAGUAGUGGGAAUGAAUCUCUUGGGAGGCGAGUAACUCCACUUUAUGAACAGACCUCGAACUGAAGAGGACUCAUCGAACUGAAGGAGACUCAUCGCUUGCUGCUUACUUAACUAGGAACCAUAAAGAUGUUUGGUUAAAAUGCAUUAGUUUGCAAGUUUCCUAGUUUCAAUGAGAGAUUUCCCAUCCAACCACGGAAGUUAUGUUUUAGUGCAUUUGAGCCUACUAACUUGAAACCCUUGCUAAUACUGAGCAAGAAUUGACCUCUCCCUUGACUCUUGCAACAAAUACUUCCUCUUCUAGAACACUUGGUGUAGAGCCCAUAUAUAUCGGUGCAAGUGAAAGUCCUAGCCUAGCCCUACUACUGGUCUGGUCCAACUGUUGCUGCAAGAGAAGAAAAAGGGGUUGUAGGUAUUCUUUGUGAAAAGAAAGAGCAUAAGUUUCAGUUGAGGAAGAAUCAAUUCCAUGCUUUGAAGCGCGUUGCUCAUGUGGUGGGGGUGCCGCGCCUGAGGUGGUUUACUUACCUAUAUCUAUUAUGCCGGGGAUGGUAAAUUACCCAUAUCCAUGCUACUAUUGGGGGCCAAGCAACUAAAGUAGUAUACAAAGGCAAAGAACCAAGCAACGGACAAUCCACUACUUCAGAAUGGAAUUGAAAAGAGCUAUGUAUGGGUCCCUUGCCGACCUCGCCUCUUGCUCCUCUCUGGCUACAAUACCUAUGUACUGUAUUAGUUAUCAAAAGUGCUGCGAACUUGUAUAUAAGGAGAGAAGCCCAGACAGUAAAGUAAGUCAGAUUCAAAAGAAAAGUCUGUGAUUAUUAUAAGAUGUAAUUUCAAAGAUGUAAUUGAAAAUAGCUCUUAUAGUAAGUGAAAGCCACCCUCCCUACCUAUGGAUUGAUUUGAUAGGCAAUAGGAACCCAAAUCUUUUAUAGCUGCACUCAUAUCCAUUAGACUAGGCACAAAACCAAUAUCUAUUACAUCACACCACCCCUCCUAUUGAGAAAUAAGGAUGGAAUUUGUACCCCCCAAAUAAGGAUUGAAUGGACACCCGCACCGCUCGUAUAGUAUGGAAUUGCCUGUUACAAAUCCAGAGUUCACCGGUGUUCAGGGCUAAAGGGCCGCUAGUCAAUUAGAAGUGAAGAACCAACUAUCCACUACAAGGCACCUAUAUCUAUUAUAUUCUAUUCUAAUGAUACCCGAUGCCCCCUCUGGCUCUAAAAAUACCUAUCUUCUGGCUACCCAGUGCUUGCACAGCUACCACUAUUGAAUGUUGAUCUUCUAGACUUGGUAUUAAACAACAACAGGAGCAGUACUAAAGGGAUGAAGACUAGAACCAUUAACUUCAGGGCGGGAUCUUUUCUCUUGAUCCUAAAACCUCACUCGGGCUCUUUGAACUCUUUUGAAACAGGACUACGAAACUACUAGUUUCUCGGACAGGACAGGUUUUCUCUAUUUACUAUCCCUCCAGAUUACUGAAUCAGGGGAGUUAUCAGAAGAUUGGUCAUAACCUUACUACAAUGCAGAGUUUGCUCUUUCUCUUAAGAAUGAAGGUAUCAGAGCCAGUCCUGUGUUCGUGAACUACAAGCAAUGAACUACUGGACUUACCGCUACUGAAGCACCCAAAUGGAAUGAUCUUUCUGCUACUACCACAUAAAGGUUAAUCCAAUACUUAACUAGACUAGUUCAAGCCAAGUACCCGACUCGGGAAAGAAAGUCAAUAACAGCUCCUGCUCUCUCUACUUCCAGGACUAUCCGAACAAAACUCUUAACUGACCACUUACCUUGAUGGUUCCAUUGCAUACCUCCACUCAAGCUUGAAUUAUGUGUUAUGUCCCCUUAUCCUUAUUCUAAUCCGGAUCUAGCUUCUGUUGAUUCCACCUAGCCAGGACUUUCUUCUUUAAUAACUAUGGAUUGCUCCUCCACCUCUGGGUUUAGUGACAGUGACUAGGCUGGUUCUCUUGACACUAUACCGACUCAGAUAAGUACUGCCGCUAGUGUUCUUCCUGGCAACACCUCUUUCUUCUCUCUCCGAUAACUACUAGUGCUGAACCCAUCUUACCGAACAAACACUCUCACUUUAGCCUCUGAUCCCGAUCUUGAUAGGACAUCUUCUCUUGGAUAAUUCCAUUCUAAUGGCAAAGGAGCCAGGACUACCUAGACUACUACUUGAGAUGCAACAGGACCAUACCACUGGAGAUUCCACUUUACUACUUCCACUCACAGCAAAUAGACAAGUUCCUACUGAGGAAUUGCAUUUGAAGACAUAGCUCCUAGACUCCACAACUACCCGCAAAGUCAGUCAACAACACUACCCGAGUAAGUAAACCACCAGCCAAGGCCUACCGGUCUGAAGACUAUAACUCGAGCAGGAACAGAGCCAAGCCACUAAAAAGGAGUCAUUUCAAUCAUAACCUUACUUUGGAACUAGCACUGGGGAUGCAAAUAGAAGUCAAACAAACUAACUAUAAGGGCCUACCUCUACUCUGGCAACUAAUACUGAUGAAACUACGAAACCACUUGUUGGGACAAGAACUCCACUUUCCACAGCUGACCUUGUCUCUCUCUCCUCUGUAAACAAACAAGGAUUCCACUCGGUACUCGGUCUUCAACAAGAGCAGAAAGAUACUUGUCACCGGCAAGCUACUACUAGGAGCUACAGCACCAAACAACACUUCUUUUUUUAAGAAACACCGGUCAAAAAGGCAGCAACAAGAUUUUAGCUAAUAGACCAGGUCAUACUAUAUAUAAUUGAUAGGACUUCUGGUCAUACCCGGCAGCAGGCUUGCACCGAUCAGCUCCUGUCUCGGGGGUACUGGCUCCAUUCUCUAACUACAUAGCUCCAUUCUCAUACUACCAGGUUGAAGCCUUACACCGGCUAGCUACACUCUUAGAUGCACUGGCUCCAUUCUCAUACUAGCUCUUUCCCUUACUAGCUCCAUCCUAUGAUUAUGUUUCUUACCUUUACCCACUUGUCUAUCUGUUCCUUGGCUCUCCGAGUUGCUUGGCUCUGCUUUGAGUUGAAGUAUAAGUAGCACUGGUUGUAUUCCUGUUAGCAUUAGUAUGAUCCCGGUGUUCCGUUUAAGGUAUUGUUUACACUAAAGUAAAGGAAGUCUUAUUGAUAUCAGUUUCAGUUUAACAGCAAGGACGGUCAGCCCAAUAGCCAGGAAAGACAGAUGUGAGGUUAAGGUCGGUAGACUAAGCGAGGUGAACUACAUAAUGGAGUUUGGGAGUCACAGUUUGAAGCUAGAGUAUAGGCAUUGAAGGCAGGGGCCUACGCCUUAAAGAGAUUAGUGGCAUACUUUAGGGGGUUAACAUGAGACAAAUUCUUAUUAGCAGUAGUUUAGGUAUGUUUGCCAGCAGCUCUCUAUUCUGAGAAGCACAGUUCGAGUCGUUAGGUACAGUUGGGUUUCUUAAUACAGGAGUUUCGGAGUGGCAUAUACUAGUAAUAGAACACAGGAUCCGGGUCUCGAGUUCAAUCCUGUCCGUGCCCAUCAACAAACCAUUCCAUUACUUACUUGUAUUAUUCCUUAUUUGAUCUUUGACUCUUCUAUAGUGUUUAUGUUAGGACAAUUCUUUAUUUACUGAACUCUAUCUAAGCCUUAGAGCAGUUAGUUUUCGUUUCCUUUGCCCCGGGCGCACCUGGUAUCCUUACUUCCGAGUGGAAUUCCUACUUAUUAGUUUCGCUUCUCACCUUUCAUUUCGUACUUCCCAAUAGAAAUAGAUUAGUCUUGCCAAUAGAAAUAGAUUAGUUUCAAAUUAACUAAAGCAGAACUUAUUUGGUGUUGAUGGGAAAUCCACUAUUGAAUUGAAUGCCCAACAAGCAACGUAUACAAACACAACUGCAAUACAAAAACGAAUCAGGUAUUUCAACUAGUCAAAAGAAGAAUAGAGCAACACGGGAAGCAAGGCUUGACUGGUCCACUUCAAUAUCUCGUAAUAGAAUAAGGUGCUGAAAGCCUAUGUGCUUUUAAGACUUUACUUACCGGCAAACAGACUGAACAGCUCUCCCUACUCUACUAGGCAUUGAACUAUAAAACAGUAAUUCUAAGACUUGUAAGACUCCACCUUACUGUAUCUCGGGCUUACUUGCCCUAGCUUCCAAUCUGAUAUCCCUGGUGUGACUAAUUCUUGUAGUUAAUAGCUUGAUUCUUCCUUUCCUACUUGAUUGUUUUAUUCUUCCUUUCCUACUAGUGAGUUGAAUUCUUCUAAUCAAGUUAUGGCUCAUCUACCGGAGUAAACUAAUACGGAUGCAACUGCUACAACAAAUACUGAUUCAAAAGGAAGGACUCCUACUUGUUUGAUUGGAUCCUAUCCCCGGUGGAAUUAUUAUAUAUCUGCAAGGAGUUUCAUUCUGACCUUAGAGUUCACCCAUCCCCUGUUACGCUUGGCUCUGGUAUUCCUACUUUUGAGUUGCAUUCUUAUCUACUACUCCAGUAGCGGGGAAAUAGCUGAUACUAACAGACUUCAUAACUAGCAUAGGGCUUACUACUAACUAAGUGGAAUUCUUUGACUCCUUAGGUCAAUUCUUUCACUGCCUUGCUUACAUUCUUACUGGAAACUAUCCCUCUCCUCUAGCUACUUCAAACAACAGGAUUCGUUCUCUCUCUUUCUGCCUCAGCCAAGACACUAGGCAAGUCGACUCUACUCUUGUGUAUACUACAAAGGAAACCGAUCCAAGCGAAAACUACUGCCAAAACUCUAGUCAAACUCUGAUCUUAGUUCCAGAAGGUAUGCAGUGAAGCAAGUAGCCAGCUCCUGUUCUUGUUAGAGUGUAAGGAAUAAUUAUAAUAAGGGGUUGCAUCCGUUCUGUUCUGUUCUCCUAUAUGAAGUUCUAUUGGUUUCCGCUACUUAGUCGGUAUAGCGUAAAGAUCACUCGUUUUUCAUCAGAAUUAGGUUAUUAUGCUAGUGUUAAGUCUACUACCUACUAACUACGGUGCUCUAGGUCGAGGCCUCUAAGUGUGAACUCCGACCCGAGCUAUGGCAACUCAUCAUGUAUUCUUUCUUUCCUUACCGGCUCUUAGCACCUUCCUUUAAGAAUAGAGUUUACUUACCUCUACCUCAUUGGCAUAAGCUACUGAUGCAACUUUACCUCUAUCCUAACCUUUUCCUCUUGCUCCUAGUAUACGCUUGCCGGCUUGUCUAGUCGGUUGCUUGGCCCUUUCCGCUUGCCGCAACAGAACAACUCGUAUUCUAUACAGAUACAGAUGCAGAUGCACUUUAGCUUGCUGGUAGAAUUGAAUCCAUCGAGCGCAGAGGAGAACUCACUAACGCUAUACAUUAUGCUUGUUCGGUUAAGGGAAAUCCAAUCAGUUGUUGAGUUGAGUUCGCCAAAAUGCCUUACCUCUAACGAGAGCCUCAAUCCCAUCAAAAUAACAUUAGUGGAGUUGGCCAAUAUCUAAAGGAAAUUUCCGUAGAGUGACUUCUUUCCUUGUCAUGAUGGUUCCACUGCUGACUUCUGAAAAGCUGCUUGGAGUAUUGUUUUUAAUGAAAUUAGUAUAGCUAUUUCUUAGUUAUGGAAAUGGGAAGCUUUUGCAUGAGGUAAAUGCAACACUACAAUGAUUCUACUGGGCCCUAAAGUCAAGUUCUCAAUCCUGAUGGGAAACUGAAGUCCGAUGUCAGAAAUACUCUUUAGAAAUAAAUGCAUUUAGAGGAUCCUACUCUAUUUGCUAUAGGAUUAUGCCCUACUUGAAUCAUUAGUCGAAGAGUGCCUUCUCUUGCUUGAAGGGAAGAAAUCAUACAACCAAUGAGAGUUGAUUAGAUACCUUUUUCCUCAAUAGUAAGUCAGCAUUUACAUGGGUCUGGCCUAUCCCCUAGGUGACUCUUAUGAUUGAUCUUAUGAAUCAGUGAACAGGUGCUUUCUCUUCUCAUUAAUAUAGUAGCUCUUUCUCUUUGAUUCCCCAUGACAUUGUGCAACUGGGUCAAAGGUUCUAUCACUACAACAAAACAUGGGUUUUUCUCUUAUAAUGAGUGACAGAUUUUCCUUUCCAUUCCAGAAGGGACUUAAUCAAGAUGAUCCUCGGACCUGUCUCCAUACUUAUUUGUACCUGUCUCCAUACUUAUUUGUAAGAGCUAUGGCUCUGGAGAGAAGAGUUAUGUUAUGCAGUGCAGAUUCCGCAGCAGAUGAGGGGCUAGGGAAGAUAGCAGAGCAGUAGCGGUAUUUUGGAUCACUCGCGGAAUGAACAUGACUGCAAUAAUCCUGUGUGUGUGAUUGAGAGAAUGAAGAAAGAAAGAAUCUAUUAAUGUAAGAAAGAAAGAAUAUAUGUAUUGUAAGAGGACUUCGUAUAAGUGAGAAAGCGGUCUCCUAACUCUUGACCGAAAGAAAUUCUCCCAAUCUCUCCUUUGUUUUCAGGUGGACUACAAUAAACUCCAUUCCUGUCCUUUUAGCAUUCAAACGGGUGCAAUGUAUUUUGACUGCCCCCCUAUAGUCUAGUAGAGUUAUAAAAGCUGGAUAAAAUGUGUAAUGCUGGAAAGUGAGCCUAUGUUGCUAAACUCUUUGGGGCUUAGGUUACCUAUACGUGGACUCGAUAAGAACGUAACAAUAAACAUGGAUUCUUUUUUAUUGCUGCUGUGUUUGUUGUAGUGACUUGGUGGAUGCUGGGCAGUAGCUCUAAAGUAUGUUUGCUACUAGGUCAAUUCUUUUACUAAUAAGGUUUCUUCUUUGGAUAUUGACACUUCCAUUCUUAUAUGUCCUAGUUCCAUUCUUGUUAGCCCCGAUACCUAUAAGUAAUUGGGUCAUUUAUAACAAAGUUGUUGUGUUGUAGUAUGAUUCCUAGGUUUAGUGCGUCUUCCCCCAUGCCGCCUAUUGGUACUUGUGGAGUCGGAUUGCCCUUAGGAACCCUAUCUAUAGGUUGACACCUUUCGCUCAAUACUCAAAUCGACAAUUGAAGCAUCUUAGGGUGGAUACACGACAGAAGGAAUUGUUCUAUCUCCAAACUUCACCUUCGACUAAUUUCAAGUACGAAAUAACAUAUAAGAGAGAAAUUUCUAUCGGAAAGUGUACCUUUUGUUCCAAUUGUACCUUUAGUUUGGAUUGGACAAGGAGAGAUAGUAAAUAGGAGGAUUUCAUUCCCAUUUCGUAGUAUACCAAUAGAGAAAUCCAUGGGAUACGAUUCAUCCAUUUUCACUAGAUAUGCUCCGUGGGGUAGCUGAUGAGAGAAAGAUCAGUUGUUGUUGAGAAAUAGUCAAUUGGAUUGGAUUUCUUCCUAUAGAACCUUUCAUUAGUCGUACCUACUGGAAGAAUUGGAAUGACUCGCUAUUUACUUGGUUUCUGGUCAAUAAUCAAUCUUAUGUAGGAGAGAUGGCCGAGUGGUUCAAGGCGUAGCAUUGUAACAGCUAUGUAGGCGUUUACCGAGGGAAAGCCAAUAACUUCCCUCUCUUUCCAUUUCUCUUUAUUCACCAACGUUACUGAACGCAUACUUAAUCUAGUUAUAUUCUAUUCCGGAAGUAAGAUUCUAUCAAAUAACCAUAGAGANNNNNNNNNNNNNNNNNNNNNNNNNNNNNNNNNNNNNNNNNNNNNNNNNNNNNNNNNNNNNNNNNNNNNNNNNNNNNNNNNNNNNNNNNNNNNNNNNNNNNNNNNNNNNNNNNNNNNNNNNNNNNNNNNNNNNNNNNNNNNNNNNNNNNNNNNNNNNNNNNNNNNNNNNNNNNNNNNNNNNNNNNNNNNNNNNNNNNNNNNNNNNNNNNNNNNNNNNNNNNNNNNNNNNNNNNNNNNNNNNNNNNNNNNNNNNNNNNNNNNNNNNNNNNNNNNNNNNNNNNNNNNNNNNNNNNNNNNNNNNNNNNNNNNNNNNNNNNNNNNNNNNNNNNNNNNNNNNNNNNNNNNNNNNNNNNNNNNNNNNNNNNNNNNNNNNNNNNNNNNNNNNNNNNNNNNNNNNNNNNNNNNNNNNNNNNNNNNNNNNCUGUAAUCCCAACCACAGCGGAUCAAGGCCCUUUUCUCUAUUUAGAAGAUUUCGGCGAAAAGAGCAAAGCAACUACAACAAAGGCACGGCUCCGGGCCAAGCAACAUACGGUUUCUCUUUGGAGUUUUUCAUCUUAUAAGAAUCAAGUCCAGGGUUCGAGGAAGAAGAAAGUACGCGCUGGAAGGAAGGAAAGAAAGUGUAGAGUCAGGAGCAGGCACUUUCGGGUUGUAUUGUUGUGUUGUUGGUUCUUCAAGUGUUGUUCUUGUGUCCGUAAGUGAAUCUGGUGUUUCGAGAUCCGAAUACGGGAAAGUGGAGGCUACCAGAUCAUAAGCCACAAGCGGGUCCAAAAGUGCAGUUUCUUCAGAAAGUGGAGAGUCUCUUUGUGAAGGUGAAUAAGUAGAAUCCAUGUUUGCCGUAAGAGAAGAAGGAAUCGGUUAGGUAUAAAGUAGAGUCGACAACAGAAUCAUAAGUGUCAGUUUCAAGAUCAGAAGCCAUAAUUCAGGAGUUUCGGAGGCUUAACUACGCCAAUAAGGAAUUGAAGAGACAAGUUCACGCCCCAAUCCAACUGGGCAACGUUGCUUGCCUGUAAACUUCCCUUUAGCACUUGUUAUUGCCCUUGCCCACCUCAGUAGCGGUAAUGGAGUUAAUACACUCUUUCUUCUCGGUGUCAGUUCCAUUCCGUUUUGAAGUUCAGGAAGAAGAGAUCUGUUUUUAAGGAAGAAGAGAGGAGACUCUAUCCGGGGAGUCGGAAUAUCUUUCUACAGAGCAGGGGAGAAAAGGAUAUACGAGUUAGUUGGGGAAAUCAGAUAGUAGUUUCAUCCCCGUAGUACUGCUCUGGUUCUUGUUGACGAACAAAGGACUCUGCCCCACCCUAGUAUAGGAAUGAAACAAGUAAGUAUCUGCUUGUCGGCUUGUCUGUCUGUUUGCUUUAAGGAGAAAAUCCAUUCUUUUAUGACUGUGUUUCCUGCGAAAGGGAGUUUCAAGUUAGACCAGACCCCGCUGACCUGGCUAACCUGACCUGACAAACUUGCUUGAAUUCUAGCUUUCAAACUUGGGAGCACGUAUGCCUGCUUGGCCCCUAGUGAAAUAAGUUCUCUUAUCUGUUCUUUUGAAUGCCCAAGGGAGCGGUGCUUGUGCUGCUUAGCCUUGUUCAACUGAGUGCUCUUACUUAUUAAGGCUUUAUCCUAAAUUGAAUCCUAAUAGAAGAUCAAUACUGAAAUUAGUAGGGGCCAGAGCUCAAUAAAUGUCUCUUUUCUAUCAUCUGUGUUUCUCCAUUCCGACAGUUUGAAGUCACUCACUACAACUUAUAGCACCAGCCUCACUACUACUUACUUUGUUUAGCUCCCGAAGCCAGUCCUUGUAUAUCGCAGCUAGGCCCGGCACCCAUAAUAGGCACCAGUGGAAGGGAUAUCCGGAGCAAGUGGUUUUUCAUCCAAAAGCAACUCCCUUUUCUGAUUUCUUCGUCGGCGAGCCCCUGGGUUGGUGACCUAUUGAUAUCAUGCCAUGGGUUGGCUACCUAUAGACCUUAGAGUCAGUCAUACUUAUGUCAACCAUAGAGAAAGAGAUAAUCGGCAGUGCCUCGAGAGUCCAGAAUCGAAGUUGAGUGAUGAAAUCCUACUUAGAGAAAAGACGCUGGAGAAGUAAAGGCGACAUCGGUACUUGUACCCGAUUCUUAGUCUUAUACUAACAGUCUCAAUCAGGGUAGCAAGUUUCAUUGUAGCGAAAGGUGAUUGGCUUGAUCUUUCUUGUCGUGGAGGGGAAUGUAUGGAUUCUGAUUGCCCAACUGCUACACCUUCCGCUUGAUUAUUGCCUUCUUCUUCUUUAGGCCCUUGCUAGUUCUUUGCGUGCCUCAAUUCUCUCUGAAGCGUUAGCUGUUUUAGUGGAAUCUUAUAAGGAAGUAGGUAACCAAUCGAGAAUAAGAAUAACAGGAGCAUAAACAUAAGCUGGCUCUUCACUCCUUAUUGCUUGCUGAUGCUAAACUCAAAUCACUAGCACACCCCGAACUCGCAUACAAAGCUAGAACUAAAGUGGAUUUCCUUCCCGCUGAGCUUCCUAUUGCCUUAACCUAGUAGUUAACCACUAUUUAUCUAAAAGAAGUGAAACCUCUGCACGCGCUGUAAAGAAAGACAGUUGAUCCGAAGUAAACAAACUAAUAAUUCCAUCUUUCUUCUUGAACACCUGCUAAGGAAGCUUUAGGGAAUAACAAGCUUCUCAUUUGUAGUUGCUUUGUCGGCUCGAAAAGCAAUGAAACAUGAAGCAAGUGGUAGAGAGUUCCAGAAGACAUUGUACGUGAACUUACUGGAGCGGGCGGGUGUGUUAGCAGAAGCAGUUGCGCUGUAGCUUAUUGGAGCAGUUAACUUAUGGAGGAGUGCGUUAGUGAGCUCGGGGCAUUUCACCUAGGACUUGCUCUUGCGGUUAAGUUUUCGGUAGUAUAGUUCCUGUUCCUUACCGCCCAUUAUGUUUUAGGGGGCAACAACAUUGGUCUUACACGCUAAAGGAAAAAUAGGUCUACUAUGGUCUCCUGGAGUUAGGGGUUUCAUUUGGUGCAAAAUCAUGGAAUGGAACUGACACGAACAUUUUCUAUAAAUAGGUAAUAACAACAGAGAAAGGAGAGGUCGGUUGUUGAUACUCUACUUACUUCCGGUUAAGGCAUUACAUAUUUUCUUGUCCUUGCUUGUUAGAGCAUAAGUAGUAGGUUUCACCAUUUCAAAAGGGUACAGGUACACAACGUAUUGAUGAUAGUAACAGCACUAGAAAGACUCCUAGGGCUAACCUCUUAUCUUAGCGUCUCACGAACCUCUUCUCGCUUUACAACUCCUAAGGCCUAUACGAAAACUGGACACUUCACGACUCGAAUGGACUGUUUACCUUUCUAAUGGAAUUGCACUUUCAAAUCAACGAGAUCUGGACUCGCUUCUGACUCAACAGUUGUCGUCUGGUCUAGUGUUCCUUUAUGGGAUUGAACAACCAGAUACUUUACUUGAUGGCGAGAUACGAGACUUCUUGUACUUGCUUGCUUGAGCGGGGCGGGGGCGGCUUGAUUGACUUCACGCUUUGGAUCUUGUUCCUACUGCUGAUCCAGCGGAUGAUCUUUCCACUUCGGAGUCUCUUGGGGCGCUAACUGUAAACCUUACUUGACUUUCGGAACCGACCUAUACUUUCUUUCCUGAAUUCUUUCUCGCCUUUGCCUUUCCCUCCCUUCCCGUUAAUGUCGAGUCAAGUCAAACAUAAACAGUCAAUUAUUUGAGUAUAGAAAGAUUGCCCUCCCGCUCGUCGUCAACACUAGAUCCCAAUCAAGCUUAUGAAACUGACUCUUCAAUCAUACCGGAAACUCCAUCCUUAAAGGAAGAGGAACACCAGGUUGGUUCAGAGCACAUGGUUGGUAUAGAGCACGAAGUUUGAAUCUUCUAUCUCCAUACCUGGCUAAUGACUCUAUUUAUCCGAGCAAUCAUUGAUCGGCAUUCUGGGCCAUCUCAUUUAAAGCAUUUCUUUGUGAACGCUUCGAACGUUUCUUUCUUCCAUUGCAGAUUUGUCCUUGACCUACUGGAGAAUACCCUUAUUUGCUCAUUGACUUCUUGAGAUGGAAAAAGAUUAUAGGAAAAGUGUCUAUCACUGCAGCAGUCCAUCUCGCGUCAGCAGCGCAUCUUGCAUCAGGAAAAGCAAGGCCGACACCGAAUGUAAGGUUUCACGCUCAGCCUUCUCAUUCGACACUCCCUUUAAGACACUAUUCGAUGUAUAUGUAUAUGUAUGAGUGGGAAAGACCUGGACCAAGAGGAACCAGUUGUGCUAUUCCUUCCCUUAUGAGUGGGAAAGACCUGGACCAAGAGGAACCAAGUUGCGCUAUUCCUUCCAUAAGUUAUUCCAGUUCUGACUAGUCUAAAGCUAGUCCUGUUGUUACCCAAGAGGCUAAUUCUUCCGUUUCUUGACUUGGAGUUGCGGAUCUACCUGUUGCUUCAAAACUGGAAACUAUUCAUCUAUCUCACAAUUCAUAUUCAUAUUGAAUAAUAUUAAUAUGCAUAUGGAACCUAAACUCACUACAUUGCUAUCCUACCGGGGGAAACUUGACGAUACUUUAGAUGAUACUUCCAGCAGUAGGCAGAGUGGAGUGGAGUUCUGCUCCGUUAGCAAGUUAUUAGUAAGUUCUGAGUUACGCUAACAUGAGCUCUCGGGGCGCGUUAGUAUUGGGAGUUUCUUUGUGUGUUAGGGAGCGGGUCAGGGGUACCUCUAUGGGUUCUUAAAGUCAGGAGGCAGUGAGUUUCCUUUUUUUUGUAUGUUACACGCUAUCUGAUUGGAUUUCUCCGUUUCCGUUUCUUGUUUCAACUCCUAUAACUUAUAUCAGCAGCCGAACCCAACACUUUUGUACUUGACUUCUAGCCUAAAGCUUUCUGAAUGGAAUCUAUCUAUCUUGCAGCACUACUCAUUGAAUGGAAUCUAUCUUGCUGCACCACUCAUUGAAUGGAAUCUAUCUUGCUGCACCCACUCAUAUAAGCAAGUAAACAACCAGUAUUGCUUCAAGACUGACUAUCUCUGCCCGGCCCGAACACAAUAAGCGUUAGCGUCCCGAAACUCCCAUUAGCGUGAAAGGGCUGUCUUUCUGAACUCACGUUAGUGCUUAGGAACGUCGUUUGCUAGUGGAAUUGAGUGAAAAAUCAUACAUAAGAGAAUAUAGGCAGCAGAACCGCAUACUAUAGUACUUGUUCCGUUGCUUUAAUAAACACGGAUUUAUUGGCUGCCGCCCGCCAGGUCGACCCGGACUCAAUUGCUAGAAUGUUCCCUUGCUUGAAAUUACUCUCUUAGGGGGGCCCUUACUUUGGUUGUUCGGUUGCUAGUUUAGUUUACGCGUUAGUUAGUUGUUCGGUUGCUAGUUUAGUUUACGCGUUAGUUAGUUGUUCGGUUGCUUCUUCACUCCUUACUUGACUCUAAGCUCUAACCCAUAUAUUACUCCUAAUACAAAGCUCCUAAACACACUUUUUGCCAUUAAUGAAGCUGUCGGCAAAAGAAGAGAAUUGCUUUAGGCACCCACCCGCUCUGCUCACUUAAGCGUUAGCGCGUUGCUUUAAGGAUGGAAUUUGGUGCAUAGUUCCGUUGCUUAUAGAAUGGAGUGAGGCCUUGCUUCCUAAGAUAUAUUAGAUGGGCAUAGAACAAGCAGUAAUGUACAGUAUUCAAAUCAAAUAAGUGAGACAGAUUCUAUAAUUGAUGAAAAACACUGCAUAUAUAUUAAGAGAAUCAGAUAAGUCAAAUGGAUUCUGAGAAAUAAGUCAGAUGACUCUAGUAACUCACAACACUGAAAGUUCGGCUGUCUCAAUAGACUUGGAAAUUGGAUUAAUCACACCGCUAAAGCUUCUGCACUAGCUAGUCUGUCUUGUCUUGAGGAUGAGGAGGUGGCUUGUCCAGCAGUUUAGGUCCUGUGCUCUCCCUUAUUUCAAAAGGGAGGGGUCGCGGGGCCCAGAGCGACUAUGCCCGGAUGUUUGGCGCAUCGAUAAGAGAGAGGCUAUCCUAUCCCAUGACUCAUUGUAAAAGGACCUAUAAGCAAAUAGCUAAGAAGAAACACUAGUAAAUCCCGCUCUUCCUGACCAGAAGUCUUGAAUCCUGUAUAGGACUUACUGCUUCAACUAAAGAGGAGGAUUUGUGCUUCUGGAGUGACCGCUUCAACUAAAGAGGAGGAUUUGUGCUUCCGGAGUGACCAUCCCGUCCCGCCAAUCCAAAGCCCCUUAAUAAUCUUGCUAUAUGGAGCCACCUUCUGAACCUCGACAUGCUUCUUUCCCAUUCUACAUAUCCUAAAAAGUAGGGGACCACGGCAUCCCCGAGCAACCACAAUAGUCCCGCAACCGACUUUAUGAAUUAAUGUAAGCUGUCUCAUCUCGUGUCCGUUGCUCCCGUACAAACUCAGGAAUGUCAUUCAGGUGAAGCAUCUUAUUUCUUACGGCCUGUCAUAAUGGUUACGCAGUGAUCUCGAACAUGACUUUAUUCUCAUGGAGAAAAGGGUUGAUUACUGCUCUUAUCUAGAGUAUAAUCUGGAAUGUUUAGUUCAUUAGGUCCUUCCUGACUCUCCCCUUUAGUUCAUUAGGUCCUUCCUGACUCUCCCCAUCCUUCCUAAGUUCUUACGCUCACUUUGAUUUCGCUCCUUCUCCUCUUACGGUAUAGCUUCCGGAUCAAGGGCUGGGCUCCAAACUUCUGAAUUUGGGGGCGAUCUCUCUUUGGGCGCGUCGCCUCUAAAGAGUCAAGCCUCCACUGAACUAAACUAUGUCUCCCCUUCCCUUCCAUAAGCGAGUCUCUCCCUUGAGUUAGACUUUUGCAUUUCACCAAGUCUUCGAUCAGAUACUCCCUGGUCAAAAGAUACUCAACUUGUUAGGAAGCCUUUAUUACUAAUCUUGCUUCCGAUAACGGGUUCGACUUCUCAUAUUUUCAUGAAUUACCAAUCACAUACCCUAACCCUUACUUAUUGCCUUCCCUCUUCCUUAGUCCCUUAUUUGGAUAUUUGGAAUGACUUUCCCUAAUGACUUUCCUCAAACCCUUUACUGCUCUUUCAAGGGCCGAUACUACUUGGCGGAACUACUACCAUGCCUCUAAAGAGUCUGACAUUGGACAAGACCCCGCGUAAGUCAUUAAUGCCACCCCUAGAAUCAGAUAAGUAAGGACUGCUGCUAGCGACAGGAAGUGAUGAACUUGCGCGUCAGGGACAUGCCACUGGCCCAAUUGACAAGGCAUAGGAAGCGAGUCCAGGGGGCCAAGCUACUGCUCA
rnacentral:lncRNA from 1 species